ACAACAAAAACAAAAAAAUAUGCAGUAACCCAAUAAAAACAACAUGUACGGCUCUGACAUAACAAGAACAACACGGACAGAGGCGCAGCUAACAGAUUUUUUUGGAGUGGAUAGCUUUUCGUAGGACCUUGAAAGAGGACCUCGCAACCGGGCAGAAAACAAUAAAACUACCUUCAGGUAGCUCCCGCACUGGUUGGAUCAUUGUUGUGAAGCAGUGAUGAAAGCAGCAUCAGCGCUCAAAAAAAUACGUUUGCUCUUGAUCUCGAAUGGGGAUCGCUCGAAAACAGCGACAAGGGUACGGCCACCAAAAACAACAAUAGGCCGCCCAAUAAUAAAAAAGAGCAUGCAGUAAUUUAGAGGGGAGCUCAGGCUCCCCUUUCUGCUGUCUGGGGUUUGGGAAUGGUGUGGUGU
rnacentral:sRNA from 1 species